rnacentral:rRNA from 1 species
AUUGAACGCUGGCGGCAGGCUUAACACAUGCAAGUCGAGCGGGGUGAUGGUGCUUGCACUAUCACUUAGCGGCGGACGGGUGAGUAAUGCUUAGGAAUCUGCCUAUUAGUGGGGGACAACAUCUCGAAAGGGAUGCUAAUACCGCAUACGUCCUACAGGAGAAAGCAGGGGAUCACUUGUGACCUUGCGCUAAUAGAUGAGCCUAAGUCGGAUUAGCUAGUUGGUGGGGUAAAGGCCUACCAAGGCGACGAUCUGUAGCGGGUCUGAGAGGAUGAUCCGCCACACUGGGACUGAGACACGGCCCAGACUCCUACGGGAGGCAGCAGUGGGGAAUAUUGGACAAUGGGGGGAACCCUGAUCUAGCCAUGCCGCGUGUGUGAAGAAGGCCUUAUGGUUGUAAAGCACUUUAAGCGAGGAGGAGGCUCUUUUGGUUAAUACCCAAGAUGAGUGGACGUUACUCGCAGAAUAAGCACCGGCUAACUCUGUGCCAGCCGCCGCGGUAA